UACGUAGGGGGCAAGCGUUGUCCGGAAUCAUUGGGCGUAAAGCGCGUGUAGGCGGCUUGGUAAGUCCGCUCUGAAAGCCCGGGGGCUCAACCCCGGGAGGCGGGUGGAUACUGCUGGGCUCGAGUCCGGAAGAGGAGAGUGGAAUUCCUGGUGUAGCGGUGAAAUGCGCAGAUAUCAGGAAGAACACCUAUGGCGAAGGCAGCUCUCUGGGACGGUACUGACGCUGAGACGCGAAAGCGUGGGGAGCGAACAGG
rnacentral:rRNA from 1 species